rnacentral:rRNA from 1 species
GACAGAGGGUGCAAACGUUGUUCGGAAUUACUGGGCGUAAAGCGUGCGCAGGCGGUUGUGCAAGACAGAUGUGAAAUCCCCGGGCUCAACCUGGGAACUGCAUUUGUGACUGCACGGCUAGAGUGCGGCAGAGGGAGAUGGAAUUCCGCGUGUAGCAGUGAAAUGCGUAGAUAUGCGGAGGAACACCGAUGGCGAAGGCAAUCUCCUGGGCCUGCACUGACGCUCAUGCACGAAAGCGUGGGGAGCAAACAGG